rnacentral:lncRNA from 1 species
GGAGGUCCACGUGCCCACCUUCCACCGGAGCCGGCCGUCGAUCUUGACGUGGAGGAGGAGGACGCCGGAGGACUGGUCCUGGGCGAUAGCCUCGGCGAGGUAGGGCGCCACCGGGACGUUGACGCCGCAGAGGAACGGGGACCAGAGGUCGAUGUCGUUGUGGCCCUGGUAGAAUGGAGGGACGGCGGUGGCGGGGGUGAUCUGCUGGUACUUGUAGGAGGCGAAGACGUCG